UACAGAGGGGGCAAGCGUUGUUCGGAAUUACUGGGCGUAAAGGGCGCGUAGGCGGCCUGCUAAGUCGGACGUGAAAUCCCCGGGCUCAACCCGGGAACUGCGUCCGAUACUGGUUGGCUUGAAUCCGGGAGAGGGAUGCAGAAUUCCAGGUGUAGCGGUGAAAUGCGUAGAUAUCUGGAGGAAUACCGGUGGCGAAGGCGGCAUCCUGGACCGGCAUUGACGCUGAGGAGCGAAAGCCAGGGGAGCAAACGGG
rnacentral:rRNA from 1 species